UGGGAUGAAGACACAGAAGCUUCCAGUCUGAGGAAACAGGACCAGCUGAGGAAUUGGCAAGCUUCAAUUCUCCUAAGACCCAAACUACCUAGACAACAGUUUCUAUGUUCAACCUCCAUCCACUCUACUCUUUUGAAACCUCUGACUGGGACUUUUGACAACCGCAUUGCCUGGUGGGAGGAAAGUGGCCCGUCACAACAGCAGCUGGUGCGGUCACUAGGCACUCAAUCGGAGUUGCCUAGAGACGCCACUGAACCAAAGUUAAUGGUUUAUUCUAUCUCAGAAGUCAUUUGCCAAGUUUGUUGUGGGUAAGAAAUGCGGAUUUUGAGCUUGGUGGGGGCAGCAAACUGUUGCUUAUGGACCAGAGAGCAGGCAGAAUCUGAGUAUUUCAUAGCUGCAGGGACACCAUUAGACCCUCCACAACACUGUUGGCUUCUUCCCAGCUUCCUCCUGAGAGUAAACCUGGGCAAGAUAGGAGAUGAGCGUAUGGAGAGAUGGCUUUGGUUGCGUCAUGGCUCCACAUCUGCCACAUCAAAGCACGCAGCUGAAAAACCCGGGACGCCCACGGGUGAGACACAUGGGAACAACCUUCUCCAAAUUCUAACCGAAGCCCAAUGAAUAUCAAUUAUUAACAAACAGCAAAGGAAUCCAGACAACGGGCCUCGCCUUUGAGGUCUGGCGGAGUACAGCCGCUGGUGGCCUCUGCAGGCUGCACAGUGCAGAGACAAGGCCUUUUCAACAGCAGCCCUGGAGGAGGGAAGGCAGGGGCAGCAACCUUCAACCAAAGCUAUGACUCUGUGAUUUCACUAGGAAUAACAGAACAAAGACGGCUGGCUGCCUUAACACAACAGUGCAAGUGUCUUGACAUACACAUGGGAAAAUAUCACAAAGGAUGCAAUCUACAAGAAAAAAAAAAAGUACCAGAAAUAGACGGGCAGGAGAGAUAGUAAAGAAUUCGGUUUGAUUCCCAACACUCAUGCACAUAAAAUGAAAAUACAUAAGUCCCUCAAAAGCACCAAAAAUAGAAAUGGAAGUGAUCCUAGAUGAAUAGAUAUAAGUAUAUAUUUGAGUUUUGAGGUCUGUGUGAUGAUGCACCACUUAGUUCAUUGUUCCAAGAAACCCAGAGAACACUAAACAUAAGUUCACAGUUGGGUCAUGCAAAUCAGACCUGAGCUCAAUCCUCAGAACCUACCUGCAGUGGGAAGAGGGAACUGGAUCCUGAAAGCUGUUCUCUGAACCCCACGUGACACACGCACACCUGUAUGAAUACACCACACGCACGCACACAUGCACGCACGUACUCACGCACGCUAUGAUGACAGAAAAACAAAACCAAAAAAAAAAAAAUCAACUUAUCAACCAACCAACCAAACAAAAACUAAAGAAAGAGAAAAGUAGUGCAUUGUGGGUUCUGAUUUCUCAGAAAACAUGGAGACCCCAUGGCUGUGGAGUCACUAGUAACUGGCAAUAAAAUCACUCUCCUUUCUCUACUCAGAAGAGGGAUUUUCACUCAGGAUCCUUUCAAGUAUUCUGGGUCCAGGGAGGGCAUUUCUUGAAUGAAUUGCUCAAUGUUCUUCCUUGGACUUUGAAAUGUAUCACCCGUCAUCUAUUUCUUAACUGGGUCUGGUGGUUCAGAUUUGUAACCUCAGCUACUUGGGGAGCUGAGGCAGGAGAAUCACAAAGUCAAUGCCUUUCUGGGAUGUAGAGUGAGUUCAAGGCUAGCCCAGGAAACUUAGCAAGCAACGACUUCAAAAAUAAUGAGCAGAAAGGGGAGUGGGGGCUGGGGAUGCCAGUGGUGGAGAGCAGAGACCACGUGUGGCAGGCGCUGUCUUGAACGCAAUUCUCAGGACCGCAGACAAAACCACACAAACCCAUCUACUUCUUUCCAGCACCCAGAAAAAGCUUAAGCGGAAAAGCCAAAUGGUUGAAAGUACCACUGCCGAAUAUAUCGCGGCACUGUUUUGCUCCAUUCUGACACGAGCCGUUGACACAGAUCCACUGGCUGUUUGCACACGGGUACCCGUUGUGAACGAAGAAGUCUUCCUCACACAGCUCGGACGUGCCGUUGCAGUACUCCGGGAGGUCACACUCCCCAGUGGCAGGCCUGCACACUUGCCCUUUCGUCUUCACCUGAUGGGGUGAAGUGAAUCACACUCAAUGAGGCAGCAGAGAAGCAGAGAGGCGCUCUACAAACUCUUCCUGUGCAUCCUGUAGGUCAUGCAGAAAUGCAUGCUCUUACUGACCCACCAGCACGGAUAGGUGACCUCUUAAGGAUCCGCCCCAGAUGAAGAGCUGCAGGCAAUUAAUGGCUGCUGAGAGAGGGGGAGUCAGCCUGCCCCAGGGAUGGAUGUGCCACCUAACGGAUUGUCCAACGCCAAGUGGUCUGCCCUGACAAUAUACAUACAAACAACAAUAAAUGAACUCAGCAUGUUGCGUGUAUAUAUUUAUUAAUUUACGUGUAAAUAUAGAUGUAACAACAAUAAUUAAAUAAAAGAAGCCAUGAAUUAGAAAGAGGGUGGGAUGGUUGUGGGGGGAGUUGGAGGGAGAAGGGAGAAAUGAUCUAAAUAUAUUAUAUAUAUAUAUAUAUGAAAUGUAAAAAUAAUAAAAACACACUAUUAAACUAAAAUGUGCUGCUUGUAGCACAUUUUCACUAUAAAUGACAUAUAAUAGAAACAAUGUUUCUAUUUCAGCCAUUUCAUACAACCCAUACAUUCUUGUUUUAAUUUUUAAGGAAUGAAUGUUUGGAAUAUUAUAGAAAUAUUAAAACUUAAAAUUUCAUGGUUGAAAGAUUUUGCUAAGAAUUUUCUGACAUUUCUGGUGGAAAAUGUAUGCAAAUAGAAUGAAAGACUUAAAAUUGUUUUCUUAAGAAUGGAAAUGUCUGGAGACUUCCAUUGGGUCCCUCCCCUUGGAGCUCAGGGAAUCCCCGAGAAGGCAGAGAGGGAGGAUUGUAGGAGCCAGAGGGGUGGAGGGCACCAGAAGAGCGGGGCCCAUGGAAUCAAUCGGGGCUCAACUAAGCAUGGCUCCUGUGGGCUCACAGAGACUGAAGCUGUAAUCACAGACGGCGUGGGUCUGCACUGGGUCCUUUGCAUAUACGUCACGGUUGUUAGCUUUGGUGGGAGUAGUGGGGUCUCUGACUGUUUUGCCUGCUCUUGGGACCCCUUUCUUCCCGCUGGGUUGCCUUGCCCUACGCUGAUAUGAGGGUUUGGGCCUGGUCUUAUUGUAU